rnacentral:rRNA from 1 species
GCACGGAGUUAGCCGGGGCUUCUUCUCUCGGUACCGUCACUCCUCCGGAUUGUUCACCCGGAGGCCAUUCGUCUCGAUCGAAAGGAGUUUACGACCCGAAGGUCUUCGUCCUCCACGCGGCGUUGCGUCGUCAGGCUUGCGCCCAUUGCGAACAAUUCCCCACUGCUGCCUCCCGUAGGAGUCUGGGCCGUGUCUCAGUCCCAGUGUGGCCGUCCGCCCUCUCAGGCCGGCUACUGAUCGUCGCCUUGGUGAGCCGUUACCCCACCAACUAGCUAAUCAGGCGCGGGCCCCUCUUCGAGUGCCAGGUCUUGCGAUCCCCGGCUUUGAUCUCCGCCUAUUCAAAGGCAGGAUGUCAUGCGGUAUUAGCGUCCCUUUCGGGACGUUAUCCCCCGCUCGAAGGCAGGUCACCCACGUGUUACUCACCCGUUUGCCACUCUACUUAUCCCUUGCGGGACUUUCGCGUUCGACUUGCAUGUGUUAGGCACGCCGCCAGCGUUGAUU